GUUGUAUAGUUAAGUGACUAAGCGUACACGGUGGAUGCCUUGGCAAUCAGAGGCGAAGAAGGACGUGCUAAUCUGCGAAAAGCGYGGGGGAGCUGAUAAGGAGCGUUAAUCCCACGAUGUCCGAAUGGGGAAACCCGAUAGAUGAAGAAUCUAUCAUUGUUGUCUGAAUUCAUAGGGCAACAAGGCAAACCGGGAGAACUGAAACAUCUAAGUACCCCGAGGAAAAGAAAUCAACCGAGAUUCUGCGAGUAGCGGCGAGCGAAAGCGGAGGAGCCAGCGAGUGAUAGCAUAAGUUUUAGGAGAAUUGUCUGGGAAGGCAAGCGAGAGAGGGUGACAGCCCCGUAUCCGAAAAGACGGAUGUGGUACUAAGCUAGCAAGAAGUAGGGCGGGACACGAGGAAUCCUGUUUGAAGAAGGGGGGACCAUCCUCCAAGGCUAAAUACUCCUGAUUGACCGAUAGUGGACCAGUACCGUGAGGGAAAGGCGAAAAGAACCCCGGGAGGGGAGUGAAAGAGAACCUGAAACCGUGUACGUACAAGCAGUGGGAGCCCGRAAGGGUGACUGCGUACCUUUUGUAUAAUGGGUCAGCGACUUAUAUUUUGUAGCGAGGUUAACCGGAUAGGGGAGCCGAAGGGAAACCGAGUCUUAACUGGGCGGUUAGUUGCAAGAUAUAGACCCGAAACCCGGUGAUCUAGCCAUGGGCAGGAAGAAGGUUGGGUAACACUAACUGGAGGGCCGAACCGACUACUGUUGAAAAAGUAGCGGAUGACCUGUGGCUGGGGGUGAAAGGCCAAUCAAACCGGGAGAUAGCUGGUUCUCCCCGAAAUCUAUUUAGGUAGAGCCUUAUAUGAAUACCUUCGGGGGUAGAGCACUGUUUCGGCUAGGGGUCCAUCCCGGAUUACCAACCCGAUGCAAACUGCGAAUACCGAAGAGUAAUGUAUAGGAGACACACGGCGGGUGCUAACGUUCGUCGUGGAGAGGGAAACAACCCAGACCGCCAGCUAAGGUCCCAAAGUCUAUAUUAAGUGGGAAACGAAGUGGAAAGGCUUAGACAGCUAGGAUGUUGGCUUAGAAGCAGCCAUCAUUUAAAGAAAGCGUAAUAGCUCACUAGUCGAGUCGGUCUGCGCGGAAGAUGUAACGGGGCUAAAAUAUAGCACCGAAGCUGCGGCAUCA
rnacentral:rRNA from 1 species